GUUUCCUCGCUUUGCUGAUUCUGGGAUUCUUUUACAGCUGGCCGCAGUGGGUAUGGACGUCACCAACGAAGACUUCACUGGUGUUCAACGUGCCGCCUGGAGGAAAUGUGCGUGCGAUUCAUACCGAAGACUGACAUAUAUUAGCCGGUACACGGCACAAGUGUUACCCGGAACAUGCGUCCAAUGCUAACACUCACCUGUCGACCAUGACCGCAUUCAUUACGCCUUGAAGCAGAAUUCCGAUUCGAGGCCAGGAUGGGAAGCAUGGAGGAAACGCUGCACAACGGGUGACAACUGCCAUAUCAACAGCCCCCACAAAGAGAUGUAGAGCCGCUGAAAUAUGGUGAUCA